GUGUCAUACGAGACUGCCGGUAAAAGCCGGAGGAAGGUGAGGAUGAUGUCAAGGUCAGCAUGACCUUUAUAUCCAGGGCCUACACACACGCUACAAUGGUCUGUACAAUGGGUAGCCAAGGCCGCGAGGCGGAGCCAAUCCUGAAAGCAGGCCUCAGUUCAGAUUGCAGUCUGCAACUCGACUGCAUGAAGCCGGAGUUGCUAGUAACCGCAGGUCAGCAAUACUGCGGUGAAUACGUUCCCGGGUCUU
rnacentral:rRNA from 1 species